rnacentral:rRNA from 1 species
CAUGCAGGCGGAUCGCUAAGUCGGGGGUGAAAGCCCGAGGCUCAACCUCGGAACUGCCUUCGAUACUGGUGAUCUUGAGUCCGGGAGAGGUGAGUGGAACUCCGAGUGUAGAGGUGAAAUUCGUAGAUAUUCGGACGAACACCAGUGGCGAAGGCGGCUCACUGGCCCGGUACUGACGCUCAGAUGCGAAAGCGUGGGGAGCAAACA